UACGGAGGGUGCAAGCGUUAUCCGGAUUCACUGGGUUUAAAGGGUGCGUAGGCGGGUAUGUAAGUCUGUGGUGAAAUCUCCGAGCUUAACUCGGAAACUGCCAUGGGUACUGCGUAUCUUGAAUGUUGUGGAGGUGAGCGGAAUAUGUCAUGUAGCGGUGAAAUGCUUAGAUAUGACAUAGAACACCAAUUGCGAAGGCAGCUCACUACACAAAUAUUGACGCUGAGGCACGAAAGCGUGGGGAUCAAACAGG
rnacentral:rRNA from 1 species